CUUAAAUUCUGCAUAAAGGAUUCUGCUUGGAAACCCCUUCCUGCAAAUUCGGAUGCCUUCUAGAACCCCAUUGCACCGCAGCUGAUGCAUCACUAAGACUGUUCAGCUGGAUAUGAAAUAGUUCUGUGAUCUCCUUGAAGGUGUAAGGCUGUGAACCUCUCUAUUACUUUUAGCUCUACCAGUUCACCUAAACAAACAAUACUCUGUCUCCAAAGACUAUAAA